rnacentral:rRNA from 1 species
AUUUAAAGUCUAACCUGCCCUAUGAGUAAUUUAAAUGGCCGCAGUAUUUUGACUGUGCAAAGGUAGCAUAAUCAUUAGUUUCUUAAUUAGGAGCUGGAAUGAAAGGUUGAACGAAAAAAUAACUGUCUCUAUAUAAAUUUAUUAGAAUUUUAUUUUUAAGUUAAAAAGCUUAAAUAAUUUUAAAAGACGAGAAGACCCUAUAGAGUUUUAUAUAGUUUGUAUUAAAAAAAUAAAUUUUUUAUUGUAAAAAUUUUAAUGUAAUUUAUAUUUAAUUGGGGUGAUUAAAAAAUUUAAAAAACUUUUUUUUUAUUAAACCAUAAAUAUAUGAUUAAUUGAUCCAUAAUUUAUGAUUAUAAGAUUAAAUUACCUUAGGGAUAACAGCGUAAUUUCUUUUUAGAGUUCUAAUCGAUAAAGAAGUUUGCGACCUCGAUGUUGGAUUAAAAUAUAUUUUUGGUGUAGAAGCUUAAAAAUUAGGUCUGUUCGACCUUUAAAAUUUUACAUGAUCUGAGUUUAAACCGGUGUAAGCCAGGUUGGUUUCUAUCUUUAAAAAAUUAAAAUAUUUUAGUACGAAAGGACCAAAUAUUUAAAAUAUUUUU